rnacentral:rRNA from 1 species
GCAUAUCAAUAAGCGGAGGAAAAGAAACUAACAAGGAUUCCCCUAGUAACUGCGAGUGAAGAGGGAAGAGCUCAAAUUUGAAAUCUGGCAGUGUUUUGCUGUCCGAGUUGUAAUCUAGAGAAGUGCUGCCCGUGCUGGACCAUGUACAAAUCUCCUGGAAUGGAGCGUCACAGAGGGUGAGAAUCCCGUCUUUGACAUGGACUGCCAGUGCAUUUGUGGUGUGCUCUCAAAGAGUCGAGUUGUUUGGGAAUGCAGCUCUAAAUGGGUGGUAAACUCCAUCUAAAGCUAAAUAUUGGCGAGAGACCGAUAGCGAACAAGUACCGUGAGGGAAAGAUGAAAAGAACUUUGGAAAGAGAGUUAAACAGUAUGUGAAAUUGUUGAAAGGGAAACGCUUAAAGUCAGUCGUAUCGGCCAGGGAUCAACUCAGUAUUAUCUGCUGGGUGUACUUCCUGAUCUGAUGGGCCAACAUCAGUUUUGACUGCUGGAAAAGGAUAGAGGGAAUGUGGCACCUUUGGGUGUGUUAUAGCUCUCUGUCGGAUGCAGUGGUUGGGACUGAGGAAAGCAGCAUGCCGCAAGGCCGGGUCGUUUCGACCACGUUCAUGCUGAGGAUGUUGGCAUAAUGGCUUUAAUCGACCCGUCUUGAAACACGGACC